UGGUGGUCACGACAGUGGCGG
rnacentral:misc_RNA from 1 species